rnacentral:piRNA from 1 species
UGGAAAGGUUAAAGGUAUUUGGGACACCAA